rnacentral:rRNA from 1 species
UGCGUAGGGUGCAAGCGUUGUCCGGAAUUAUUGGGCGUAAAGAGCUCGUAGGCGGUCUGUCGCGUCGGCUGUGAAAACCCGAGGCUCAACCUCGGGCCUGCAGUCGAUACGGGCAAACUAGAGUGUUGCAGGGGAGACUGGAAUUCCUGGUGUAGCGGUGAAAUGCGCAGAUAUCAGGAGGAACACCGGUGGCGAAGGCGGGUCUCUGGGCAACAACUGACGCUGAGGAGCGAAAGCGUGGGGAGCGAACAGG